AUGUUAGAGGAUCACAGAAAGGCGCUGUACCCCGGAUGCGAUGAUGGUCUGAAAAAGCUGGGCUGCACACUGGAUUUGCUGAAAUGGAAGGCAGAGGCAGGUGUAGCUGACUCGGCAUUUGAAAACUUGCUGAAAAUGUUGAAGAAUAUGUUUCCAAAGGAUAACGAGUUGCCCGCCAGUACGUACGAAGCAAAGAAGGUUGUCUACCCUCUAGGUUUAGAGGUUCUGAAGAUACAUGCAUGCAUCAACGACUGCAUCCUCUACCGCGGUGAAUACGAGAAUUUGAAUGAAUGCCCGGUAUGCACUGCAUUGCGUUAUAAGAUCAGAGGCGAUGACCCUGGUGACGAUGUUGAGGGCCAGAAACCCAGGAAGAGGGUUCCCGCCAAGGUGAUGUGGUAUGCUCCUAUAAUACCACGGUUGAAACGUCUGUUCAGGAACAAAGAGCAUGCCAAGUUGUUGUGA
rnacentral:rRNA from 1 species